GAUGAAGAACGCAGCGAAAUGCGAUACUUGGUGUGAAUUGCAGAAUCCCGUGAACCAUCGAGUCUUUGAACGCAAGUUGCGCCUCAAGCCAUUAGGUUGAGGGCACGUCUGCCUGGCGUCACAUAUCGUUGCCUGAUGCCAGUUUCCUCGUGAUGGGUGACUGUGCAGGGCGAAUGAUGGCUUCCCGUGAGCAUUGUUGCCUCAUGGUUGGUUGAAAAUUGAGUCCUUGGUAGGGAGCGCCGUGAUAGAUGGUGGUUGAGUGACGAACGAGACCCAAUCAUGUGAGACCCCUACCGAAUUUGGCCUUCAUGACCCACAUGCGUCUUUGGAACGCUCAUGACGAGACCUCAGGUCAGGCGGGGCUACCCGCUGAGUUUAAGCAUAUCAAUAAGCGGAGGA
rnacentral:misc_RNA from 1 species